CUGCUGACGAACAAAACGAUUCGCAGCGAUGCAAACAGCGCCAAGCGCGUUUGCGGCAGACAGAUCUUUAAAAAUUAACAGCCGAUAAGCGUGGGCGUUUAAUGAAGUGCGACAGAACUUCGGUUCUGGAAACUUUAAAUAUUAAAUGCUCACAAGAAAUAUAGGUAAGUUCGCAAGAAAUUACCUGUCAGUAUUUUGAGAGAGCGAUGCCCUUCGGGGUAGCCAGAAAUGGCACAAAACAGAGAUUAAACUAAAGAGUUUGAUCCUGGCUCAGAUUGAACGCUGGCGGCAUGCCUUACACAUGCAAGUCGAACGGCAGCAUAGGAGCUUGCUCCUGAUGGCGAGUGGCGAACGGGUGAGUAAUAUAUCGGAACGUGCCCUAGAGUGGGGGAUAACUAGUCGAAAGACUAGCUAAUACCGCAUACGAUCUACGGAUGAAAGUGGGGGAUCGCAAGACCUCAUGCUCCUGGAGCGGCCGAUAUCUGAUUAGCUAGUUGGUGGGGUAAAAGCCUACCAAGGCGACGAUCAGUAGCUGGUCUGAGAGGACGACCAGCCACACUGGGACUGAGACACGGCCCAGACUCCUACGGGAGGCAGCAGUGGGGAAUUUUGGACAAUGGGGGCAACCCUGAUCCAGCAAUGCCGCGUGAGUGAAGAAGGCCUUCGGGUUGUAAAGCUCUUUUGUCAGGGAAGAAACGGUAGUAGCUAAUAUCUACUACUAAUGACGGUACCUGAAGAAUAAGCACCGGCUAACUACGUGCCAGCAGCCGCGGUAAUACGUAGGGUGCAAGCGUUAAUCGGAAUUACUGGGCGUAAAGCGUGCGCAGGCGGUUGUGUAAGUCAGAUGUGAAAUCCCCGGGCUCAACCUGGGAAUUGCAUUUGAGACUGCACGGCUAGAGUGUGUCAGAGGGGGGUAGAAUUCCACGUGUAGCAGUGAAAUGCGUAGAUAUGUGGAGGAAUACCGAUGGCGAAGGCAGCCCCCUGGGAUAACACUGACGCUCAUGCACGAAAGCGUGGGGAGCAAACAGGAUUAGAUACCCUGGUAGUCCACGCCCUAAACGAUGUCUACUAGUUGUCGGGUCUUAAUUGACUUGGUAACGCAGCUAACGCGUGAAGUAGACCGCCUGGGGAGUACGGUCGCAAGAUUAAAACUCAAAGGAAUUGACGGGGACCCGCACAAGCGGUGGAUGAUGUGGAUUAAUUCGAUGCAACGCGAAAAACCUUACCUACCCUUGACAUGGAUGGAAUCCUGAAGAGAUUUGGGAGUGCUCGAAAGAGAACCAUCACACAGGUGCUGCAUGGCUGUCGUCAGCUCGUGUCGUGAGAUGUUGGGUUAAGUCCCGCAACGAGCGCAACCCUUGUCAUUAGUUGCUACGAAAGGGCACUCUAAUGAGACUGCCGGUGACAAACCGGAGGAAGGUGGGGAUGACGUCAAGUCCUCAUGGCCCUUAUGGGUAGGGCUUCACACGUCAUACAAUGGUACAUACAGAGGGCCGCCAACCCGCGAGGGGGAGCUAAUCCCAGAAAGUGUAUCGUAGUCCGGAUUGGAGUCUGCAACUCGACUCCAUGAAGUUGGAAUCGCUAGUAAUCGCGGAUCAGCAUGUCGCGGUGAAUACGUUCCCGGGUCUUGUACACACCGCCCGUCACACCAUGGGAGCGGGUUUUACCAGAAGUGGGUAGCCUAACCGCAAGGAGGGCGCUCACCACGGUAGGAUUCGUGACUGGGGUGAAGUCGUAACAAGGUAGCCGUAUCGGAAGGUGCGGCUGGAUCACCUCCUUUCU
rnacentral:rRNA from 1 species